rnacentral:rRNA from 1 species
AUGGAGCUCAAACUAGCAUUCCCCCAGGACAGCCCACCACUUUCCAUCAUUUCGGCUGCUAAGAUUGCAGGUGUUCCCCUAAUCAUUGAUCCGACCCUUGCCUCAGGUUCAGUGCCCACACUACACUUCAGUUCUGGGGAUUUUAUACAUGGUGUCAACACAAUUCUCCGGUACAUUGCACGUGCUGCAUCUCUUUCCAGCUUCUAUGGCCAAGACGAUAUUCAGGCAGCACAUGUUGACCAAUGGCUCGAGUACGCACCACUCAUUCUGUCAGGCUCUGAAUUUGAAGCCGCUUGCUUAUUUCUUGAUGGAUACUUGGCAUCUCGAACCUUUUUGGUUGGUUACGGUCUAUCAAUUGCUGACAUUGUUGUGUGGUCAAAUCUCACAGGAACUGGUCAACGAUGGGAAAGUCUAAGGAGGUCAAAAAAAUACCAGAGCCUUGUCCGCUGGUUCAACAGUGUAGCUGCAGACUAUGCAGACGCACUAGAUGAAGUUACAUCUGCUUAUGUUGGAAAGCGCGGAAUUGGCAAAUCUCCUGCGCCAAGCUUGAAAGUAAAGGUGCCUGGUUUGAAGGAGAACACGUCAGGUCAUGAAAUAGAUCUCCCAGGUGCUAAAGUUGGGGAGGUUUGCGUUCGUUUUGCCCCAGAGCCUAGCGGGUAUCUCCACAUUGGUCAUGCAAAGGCUGCACUGUUGAACAAGUAUUUUGCAGAAAGAUAUAAAGGGCGUUUAAUAGUUCGAUUUGAUGACACAAAUCCUUCUAAAGAAAGCAAUGAAUUUGUUGAGAAUGUCCUGAAAGAUAUUGAGACACUUGGGGUUAAAUACGAUGUAGUUACAUACACAUCAGAUCACUUUCCAAAGCUAAUGGAAAUGGCUGAAAGUUUGAUUAAGCAGGGAAAGGCAUAUGUUGAUGAUACACCCAAGGAGCAAAUGAGGAGUGAAAGGAUGGAUGGUGUGGAAUCUAAACGUAGAAACAGUACUGUUGAGGAGAACUUGUCGCUGUGGAAAGAGAUGGUUAAUGGCACCAAAAGGGGUACCGAGUGCUGUGUACGCGGUAAACUUGACAUGCAGGAUCCAAACAAAUCACUUCGAGAUCCUGUUUACUAUCGUUGUAACCCUGAUCCCCAUCAUCGCGUUGGCUCAAAAUACAAGGUCUAUCCAACUUAUGACUUCGCUUGCCCAUUUGUUGAUGCACUAGAAGGAGUGACUCAUGCUCUUCGUUCAAGCGAAUACCAUGAUCGGAAUGCACAGUACUAUCGUAUCCUUCAAGACAUGGGCCUGCGGAGGGUAGAAAUCUAUGAGUUCAGCAGGCUGAAUAUGGUUUAUACCGUUCUUAGCAAGCGCAAGCUUCUGUGGUUCGUCCAAAACAAUAUGGUGGAGGACUGGACUGACGCACGCUUUCCCACUGUACAAGGCAUUGUACGCCGUGGCUUGAAGAUUGAAGCAUUGAUCCAAUUUAUACUGGAGCAGGGUGCCUCAAAAAAUCUCAAUCUUAUGGAGUGGGAUAAACUCUGGACAAUCAACAAGAAGAUAGUUGAUCCUGUGUGUGGAAGGCAUACUGCUGUGCUGAAAGACAAACGCGUGCUUUUGACCCUUACUAAUGGUCCAGAGGAACCAUUUGUUCGAAUCUUACCAAGGCACAAGAAACACGAGGGUGCUGGAAAGAAGGCUACGACGUUUGCAAACAGAAUUUGGCUAGAGUAUGCUGAUGCAUCAGUCGUUAGCGUGGGCGAGGAAGUUACUUUGAUGGACUGGGGAAAUGCUAUCAUUAGAGAAAUCAAGACAGAUGAUGGAACAGUUACUCAACUAGUUGGUGAACUCCAUCUUGAAGGGUCAGUGAAGAUGACAAAGCUGAAACUAACAUGGCUAUCAGAUAUUGAAGAUCUUGUGUCUCUCUCUUUGGUAGAUUUUGACUACCUAAUUAAUAAGAAGAAGCUGGAAGAAGAUGAGGACUUCCUUGACAAUCUCAACCCUUGCACUCGACGAGAAGCUUUAGCUCUUGGAGACCCGAACAUGCGGAACGUGAAGAAAGGAGAAGUUAUACAGCUCGAAAGGAAAGGCUAUUACAGGUGUGAUGUUCCAUUUAUCCGGUCGUCCAAACCAAUUAUGCUUUUUGCCAUUCCAGAUGGCCGACAGAAGUCCACGUCGAUUGGAGCCUAG